CCAAGAAGACAACUCGCAUGCCUGAGGCAGGGGCCAAGCAGGAUGGUGGCCAGAGAGGGGACCAGAAAAGCAGGCGGGGACAGAAGGAUGUGGUUACGACCCACGAGGGAACUCUGAGCGGUGUCUGGCACACAGCAAGCACUCAAGCAAUGUCUCUCCAUCAUUGGCAGUCAUGUUUUCAAAUAUGUUAAUCUCUGGGAAGGUGCCUGGGUAUCUUCAAGGCCUGGCUAUGCCCGACAGCCAACAUUUACUCAAGUGACGUCUAAUGGGACAAUGGAGCCCGCGCCAAGGACUUGGAGCUUCAAGCCAAGGGCUGUCCUGCCUCCCGCCACCUCCCUGCCUCCCUGGGACAUGUUCUCAGCUGCCCCCUACCCCCUGGCACCGUGGCCCUGCCUGGCCUCCCCCUCCACUGCCACCCUCCACCCCGGGCACGGGCACGGGCAAGGUUGGGGUCAGGUAUCACAGGGUGCGUCAGCGGCCAUCGCCACCCCAGAUUGGCAGCACCACUGCCGUCUGGCAGGCAGAGACCCGGUCGAAGCAGGAGUGAGCCCGUCACCUGCCCCAUCUGGGGCCUGAGA